rnacentral:misc_RNA from 1 species
GUGAAUCAUCGAAUCUUUGAACGCAAAUUGCACUCUCCGGUUUUCCUGGGGAGUAUGCCGGUUUGGGGGAUUGUUUAAAAAAUAAUGGAGGCUUUUGCGGUGGUGGCCGUCCGGAAUUGGGUCAUCUUUAACCUUUCGGUUGUAAGCGACCUAAAAUUUUUUUUACGAUUUCUACGAACGUGUAUAAGCAUUUUUUGUAAGGUUUCGGGUUUG